GUUUCUUUUCUCUUUUUACAUUUUCACCAUACAAUGGAAAGGUCUCAUACUGAAUGCACAUACAUACAUACAAUCUCCAUGCUGAUCACUUUCCAUGCAUCAGAGGGGGAAAAACAUCUCACUCACACACUCACACACUCACACACUCACACACUCACACACUCACACACUCACUCAUAAGAAUGAUUGAAAGAAGCUACCAGGCUCAGAUAGCUGAUAAUAAAGAUUAAACGCCGAGCCCGAAUGCACGUGUAAAGAAAUAAAUAAAUAAAAAUAUACACUGAUCCUGUAUCAGGCAUAAUGAUACUCUUUCAGGAAAAAAAGGGUACUAACUGUACCUUUUCAUGUCGAUGUGACGGUACCGUUAAGCAUAUGACUUUUAUAGGUAGCGUACGUACGCUAAAAAAAAACAUCAUGCGUGAUCUCGCAGCUUCGAUGAGCUUUGAGAGCGGGUACACUUCAGACAUAUCCACGGAGAAGACGAGUACUAAAGGUACCACCCCAGUCACGAGAAAUGGUACUUAGUUUAGUACCCUACUAUAACCUCGAUCCGCUGUGUUAAAAACUAAGGCAAACGAGUGUAAGCCACCGCAGUGAGAUUAAAAACACAGAAAUACACAAACGUCCAGAUCAGGGGUGCCAAAACAAACAAACACACACGGAAUUUAUCUGUAAUCAUUUAUACGAAAUGUACACAAUUUCUGAACGCACAAACAGAUCACCACCUAGAUACAGGAUAUCUGCGUAAGUAUUCACCCCCCCCCCCUUCUAUGUUAUGUAGAACAUCUGGGUCUGAAAUGGACAUCCCAUAAUAUAAAAUUCAGCUAUAGGGAGGAACAAGACGAGGAUUCGGAUCCAUGGGCCGUUUGGAAUGAAUGGAUUCGUUCGUAACGCAGAUGAAAAUUCGACAUCGUUAUCAUUUGUGAAUUAGAUUCAUACGUACUGCAGAUUCGGAACAGCGCUGGUCAAGUAUCGAUAACGCCCCCUAGUGGAAUAUCAGAGCUCCUUCUUUGAGCACAAUUACAAUCGGCAUUUCGAUUUUAAACUUGAUGGAGGCGAUUAGACAUGUUUGACACCCCUGAUCUACAUCAUUCAAAACCUGGACCUGGAUGACUGAAUUGGAUGAGUCGAGUGCAAAAGUUUGUGCCCCCGUGGUUUUUCAGCGUAAAAAAAUCCGUCCAUUUUCCUACACAGGGUCACGGAGAGCCUGGAGCCUAUCCCAGGGGACUUGAGGGAACGAGGUGGGGUGCCAACCAAUCACAGGGCACAAUCACACACACUACGGAUAAUGUAGAGAUUAUGUACAGAAUGUACAGCACAUGUCUUUGGACCAGGGGAGGAAACCGGAGUACCUGGAGGAAACCCUCAAGGCAACGGGGAUAACAUGAUAGGAAACUCCACACGCACAGGGCAGAGAUGGGAUUCGAACCCCCAACCCUGGAGGUGUCUUCUUUUUCUCAACUGUUUUAUUUGUACAUGUUGUAGUAUUUUUCAAAUAUAUAUAUCAUAAUCAUGUCAGUCGAGAAGAUUUUUCACUUUGAUCCAACACUCUUGACGAAAAAUAAAAGGGUACCAAACAGAACCUUUUGCUGUCACUCAGCUACCUGUAUAUUUCAGUACCUCAUUUGAUGCAUCUUUAAAACUAAACUUAAGAUGGACGACGCAUAAAUUUCACAUAAUUAGCCUUUUUAGAGUAAGGCUUUAGUAGAAGAUCCAUACUACAUGUGAAAAAGGAAAGGGUACUACACCAAGGAUCAAGGAACAGUACCGUUCAGUACUCUUUUUUUGUUUCUCUAGAGUGUGGAGCAAACAAAAAACAUGAAUCAAAAUCGAAACCCGACCCGAAGCAGAGUUUCGCUAGAAGCACAAACAUCACUGAUAAAAUGGAAGAGCGAGAACGAAGAUGCUGUGAAACCUAGAACACAAGGGUGCACAAGCUUUGCACUCACUCGCUCGCUCAUAACCAUAACCUCUCAUCCACAUACUCCAAAAAAAAAAAAACAACCCAAAACAAACACACAAACGAAGAACAAUUUAAAAAAUGGCACUUAAAUGAUGAAAAUUUUGCAUAAAGUCUAAAAUCAUAUAAAAAUAAACAGAGUACAGAUCAUUUCUCCUGGACAUGAGGAUCAGUCGGUUAUUCGCACAGAGGUAUUCAUUAAGAACUCACACACACACACACACACACACACACGCACGCGCGCGCACACACACACACACACAACUGUGGGAAACCUGAUUGUUUGUUGGGAAACCUACAGCACGAGCUGGGAAGGAUGUUACGAGGAAAAAAUGAUGGAAAAGAUGACAGUUGUAUAAAAAAGUCCAACACUAGUGCAUAUAAGUUACAUUAGUACACCAGCUGUAUCUAAGACUAUUUCUAACACAAUUACACCACAGACUGUACAGUAAACCACACACACACUCUCUCACACAGCUAGUCGGUAUUGCUCUACUACUUACUACACACUUGGUAUUUUACGCUUUACACUAGAUUACGUACACAGUGACGCUCUUUUCGACAUUCUUUAGCUUUUUCGCUAACAAGCUCCAGAUCACGUUCAAAAUUUCACUACACACUGAACCUGAAGAGCAGGACUCUUUCAUUUUAAUCAGUACCUGAUAUCAGAGGUGUGUGUGUGUGUGUGUGAGACUGUUGUCGUUUAACUCCUGCUCUUGUUUUACAUACAUUUUCAUACUUCUUCUUCUUCUUCUUAUUAUUAUUAUUAUUAUUAUUAUUAUUAUUAUUAUUAUGACGCCAUUAUAUUAGAUUAGAUCUAACAUUUUUGUUAUUUGUUCCAAACGCAUUCGGUUCUAUUUCCCAAAAAUAUUAAUAAAGUCUUUUUAUUUUUUCAUCUAUUUUUUU
ensembl:lncRNA